AGAACAGAAAAUUCAAGUCCACUCUCUCCCUCUCUCUUUCUCUCCUUUCUUUUAAGUUUAAGUUCUUGGUGCAAUAAAGUAUCUAGAACUUGUCUGCAAAUUGGUUUUGUGCAGCCAUGGAUGCCAAAACCAAACAAAGUUUGGUGCUUUUGCUUUGCUUAUGCCUACAUCUCAAAACCCAGGUUUGCAUUGCAGCUGACACCAUCGCUGCAAACCAAUCUAUCUCUGGUGAUCAAACCAUUGUCUCUGCAGGAAAGGUUUUUGUGCUAGGUUUCUUCAAACCAGGUAAUUCUUCAAACUACUACAUAGGCAUGUGGUACUCUAAACAAGUGGUAUCUUUGCAGACCAUAGUUUGGGUGGCAAAUAGGGAAACACCAGUUUCUGAUAGAUUUUCUUCAGUCUUGAGGAUCUCAGAUGGUAAUUUAGUUCUCUUUAAUGAGUCCAACACUCCAAUUUGGUCCACAAAUUUAGCCUCCACCACCACCUCAGGUUCUGCACAAGCAGUUCUUUUAGAUAGUGGAAACCUUGUCUUAAGAACUGCUGGGUCUAAUGCUAAUACAUCAGAGCCUUUGUGGCAAAGCUUUGAUCAUCCAGCUCAUACAUGGCUACCAGGAGCUACAAUGGGAUUCAACACUGUCACCAAUCAAACCUUAACUCUCACUUCAUGGAAGAGUUCAGAGGAUCCUGCACCAGGUAUUUUCACUCUUGAGCUUGACCCCAAUGGAAGUAAUGCGUAUCUCAUAGUUUGGAAUAAGUCUACACCGUAUUGGACCAGUGGAUCAUGGGAUGCAAAGUCACGUAUUUUCAGCUUGGUUCCUGAGAUGAGGCGUAAAUAUAUCUUCAAUUUCAGCUAUGUUACAAACAAAAACGAAAGUUAUUUCACCUAUUCUGUUUAUGAUCCUAAGAUGAUAUCUCGAUUCGUGAUGCAUACCUCAGGGCAGAUUCAGCAACUCACAUGAUUGAAGAUUUCCAGCCAGUGGAAUUUGUUUUGGAACCUACCAAGAAAGCAAUGUGAAGUUUAUGAUUUAUGCGGGGCAUUUGGCAGUUGCAACGAGGUAAGCACGGUCUCCUGUAAUUGUUUGACAGGUUUUGAGCCAAAGUUGCAGAGGGAUUGGAAUUUGCAAGCUUAUUCUGGUGGGUGUAAAAGAAAAACCCCUCUGCAUUGUGAGAAUGCUACUAGCGCUGACGGGAAGCAAGACCAGUUUCUGAAAAUGGCUACUAUGUCAUUGCCUGAAAAUGAGCAGUCUGUGAAGGUUGAGACUAUUGCUGGAUGUGAAUCAAUCUGCUUAAAUAAUUGCUCUUGCACUGCUUAUGCUUAUAAUAGCAGUGGAUGUUCAAUUUGGAUCGGAGAACUCUUCAAUCUGCAACAACUCACAUCAAGUGAUAGUCAGGGAAUAACUUUGUACCUCAGACUUGCAGCUUCAGAGUUUAAGGGUCCUAAAAGCAAUAAGGGAUUGAUUAUUGGUGUUGUGUCUGGCUCAGCUGCUGGAAUAGCAAUUCUCCUAGGCCUUAUUUUGGUUGUAAUCUUGAGACAAAGGAAGAGAGUGACUGGAACGGGAAAAGCAGUAGAGGGUUCAUUGGUGGCCUUUGGAUACAGAGAUCUGCAAGAUGCAACAAAGAACUUCUCAGAAAAAUUGGGGGGAGGAGGCUUUGGUUCUGUUUUCAAAGGGACCCUGCCUGAUUCAUCUGUCAUAGCAGUAAAGAAGCUUGAAAGUGUUAGCCAAGGAGAGAAGCAAUUCAGAACUGAAGUGAGCACAAUUGGGACAAUUCAACAUGUCAAUCUUGUCCGGCUUUGCGGGUUCUGCUCUGAAGGUACAGAAAGGAUGUUGGUCUAUGAUUACAUGCCGAAAGGAUCAUUGGAUUCUCACCUUUUCCAUGAUAAGCGUCCAAAUGUUUUGGAUUGGAAAAAAAGGUACCAAAUUGCUCUGGGGACAGCAAGAGGGUUGGCUUAUCUUCAUGAGAAAUGCAGAGAUUACAUCAUACAUUGUGACAUAAAGCCAGAAAACAUUCUUUUAGAUACUGAACUUGGUCCAAAAGUGGCAGACUUUGGCCUUGCAAAGCUUGUUGGAAGAGAUUUCAGCAGGGUCCUGACAACUAUAAGAGGGACAAGAGGCUAUCUUGCACCGGAGUGGAUUUCAGGAGUGGCAAUAACAGUGAAAGCUGAUGUUUACAGCUAUGGAAUGAUGCUGUUUGAAUUCGUGUCGGGACGACGAAACUCUGAGCAAUCUGAAGAUGGCAAAGUUAGAUUCUUCCCAAGUUGGGCUGCUAGCCAGAUAAGCACUGCAGAAACUGAUGUGCUGAGCCUAUUAGACCCCAGGCUAGAUGGAAAUGCUGAUGUACAAGAGCUCACAAGGAUUUGUAGAGUUGCUUGCUGGUGUGUUCAAGAUGAUGAGGCUCAUAGGCCAUCAAUGGGCCAGGUGGUGCAAAUCCUUGAGGGAGUUUCAGAUGUCAACCUGCCACCAAUACCAAGAUCUCUUCAAGUCCUUGGAGACGACCAGGAGCACAUAAUCUUCUUCACUGAGUCAUCCUCAAGCCAGAGUUCACAUCAAAGGAGCAAUAACACUUCAACAGCUCCCUCUCAGACCAAGAGCACCACAUCUUCAACCAUCUCCAAGAGAUCUGACGAAGAGCAUCAAAUAAACACUUGAUGUGCCUUUUCCAUUUGGUCAUUUGGUUUGAGCCUUCUAAGUAAUUGUCAUAUGUAUUAUAUAUUUUUAUAUAGCGUCUUUUGAUUUGGUAUGAUAAUUGUAUUAUUGUUUAUAUAUAUGCCAAGAA